AACCUCCGCAAUGUGAGAAAUCGCGACGGGGGGAUCCCAAGUGCCAUUCUUAACGGGAUGGCUUUUCAUUAGUGUAAAGAGCUUUUGGAAUAAGAGCUGGGCAAGACCGGUGCCAGCCGCCGCGGUAACACCGGCAGCUCUAGUGGUAACAAUUUUUAUUGGGCCUAAAGCGUCCGUAGCCGGUUUAAUAAGUCUCUGGUGAAAUCCUGUAGCUUAACUGUGGGAAUUGCUGGAGAUACUAUUAGACUUGAGACCGGGAGAGGAUAGAGGUACUCCCAGGGUAGAGGUGAAAUUCUGUAAUCCUGGGAGGACCGCCUGUUGCGAAGGCGUCUAACUGGAACGGUUCUGACGGUGAGGGACGAAAGUUAGGGGCGCGAACCGGAUUAGAUACCCGGGUAGUCCUAACUGUAAACGAUGCGGACUUGGUGUUGGGGUGGCUUUGAGCUGCUCCAGUGCCGAAGGGAAGCUGUUAAGUCCGCCGCCGGGGAAGUACGGUCGCAAGACUGAAACUUAAAGGAAGU
rnacentral:rRNA from 1 species